CAAAAGGUUUUAUGUAAAAACCAUAAAAACAAUCAAAAACAUGCCAU
rfam:Picea glauca, whole genome shotgun sequence.